rnacentral:rRNA from 1 species
UAGGGAAUCUUCCGCAAUGGACGCAAGUCUGACGGAGCAACGCCGCGUGAGUGAAGAAGGAUUUCGGUUCGUAAAACUCUGUUGUUAGAGAAGAACAGCGCAUAGAGUAACUGUUAUGCGUGUGACGGUAUCUAACCAGAAAGCCACGGCUAACUACGUGCCAGCAGCCGCGGUAAUACGUAGGGGGCUAGCGUUGUCCGGAAUCACUGGGCGUAAAGGGUUCGCAGGCGGUCAAUUAAGUCUGAUGUGAAAGCCCCCGGCUCAACCGGGGAGGGUCAUUGGAAACUGGUUGACUUGAGUGCAGAAGAGGAGAGUGGAAUUCCAUGUGUAGCGGUGAAAUGCGUAGAUAUAUGGAGGAACACCAGUGGCGAAGGCGACUCUCUGGUCUGUAACUGACGCUGAGGUUCGAAAGCGUGGGUAGCAAACAGG